CAGUAGCCGCGGGAAUACGUAGGGCGCAAGCGUUAUCCGGAAUUAUUGGGCGUAAAGAGCUCGUAGGCGGUUUGUCGCGUCUGCCGUGAAAGUCCGGGGCUCAACCCCGGAUCUGCGGUGGGUACGGGCAGACUAGAGUGAUGUAGGGGAGACUGGAAUUCCUGGUGUAGCGGUGAAAUGCGCAGAUAUCAGGAGGAACACCGAUGGCGAAGGCAGGUCUCUGGGCAUUAACUGACGCUGAGGAGCGAAAGCAUGGGGAGCGAACAGGAUUAGAGACCCGAGUAGUCCCUGUCUCUUAUAC
rnacentral:rRNA from 1 species